rnacentral:rRNA from 1 species
CCUACGGGAGGCAGCAGUAGGGAAUAUUGCUCAAUGGGGGAAACCCUGAUGCAGCGACGCCGCGUGAGUGAAGAAGUAUCUCGGUACGUAAAGCUCUAUCAGCAGGGAAGAUAAUGACGGUACCUGACCAAGAAGCCCCGGCUAACUACGUGCCAGCAGCCGCGGGAAUACGGAGGGGGCAAGCGUUAUCCGGAUUUACUGGGUGUAACGGGAGCGUAGACGGCAGCACAGGUCUGGAGUGAAAUCGCGGGGCGUAACCCCGGAACUGCUUUGGAAACUGGGCGGCUGGAGUGCAGGAGGGGUAAGCGGAAUGCGUAGUGUAGCGGUGAAAUGCGUAGAUAUGAGGAGGA